GAUGAACGCUGGCGGCGUGCUUAACACAUGCAAGUCGAACGAAGCUCCCGAACCUGAGAUUCGGGGUCAAGGGGGAAGGAUGACUUAGUGGCGGACGGGUGAGUAAUGCGUGAGCAACCUGCCCUUCAGAGGGGGACAACAGUUGGAAACGACUGCUAAUACCGCAUAAUGUAUUCGGAUGGCAUCAUUUGAAUACCAAAGAUUUAUCGCUGAAGGAUGGGCUCACGUCUGAUUAGCUAGUUGGUGAGGUAAUGGCUCACCAAGGCUUCGAUCAGUAGCCGGACUGAGAGGUUGGCCGGCCACAUUGGGACUGAGAUACGGCCCAGACUCCUACGGGAGGCAGCAGUGGGGAAUAUUGGGCAAUGGGCGCAAGCCUGACCCAGCAACGCCGCGUGAAGGAAGAAGGCUUUCGGGUUGUAAACUUCUUUUGGCAGGGACGAAAAAAUGACGGUACCUGCAGAAUAAGCUCCGGCUAACUACGUGCCAGCAGCCGCGGUAAAC
rnacentral:rRNA from 1 species